UGGCUGCUUGGUGGAGAGAUCAAGAGCAGAAACAGGGAGACCACGAGAGGACGAUGACAGCUUCGACUGGGGCCGUGGCGGCAGAGGAGGGCGUCUGGGUGAAGUCAGAUGACCUGAAGCUUCACCCUAAACCCACACAACUGAGCGGCAGCAUCUGGGCCCCGAGGAGCUCCGGGGUGCUCUUCCCGGAAGAAGGCUGCUGAAGGGAUUGGAGCUGAGCCGUACGAGGAAAGGCCCACUCUGGGUGGCCUUUUCAGCCUCCCAGGGAAUCCUCAUGGAUUUGAGGUGCAGAUGUCCUGCAACAUGGGGCUGAAAAGAAAGCUUCAACCUGAACGCUGCCGGCUAAGGUCACGAGACAGUCGUGUGAGGGCGUGUGUUCACCUCUCCAGAUUACACCGCGGCAGCAAAUGAAAAGCAGCCCAAGUCUCUGCAGCCAAAGGACAAGCUGCUGCCUGGCAUAGUGUCUGUUCUGUCCUCCCCUCGUGGACUGGUUCAAAGGACCGCUCUGCACUCUCCUUCGUUCGAAAAUAAUACAAACCAGCAGACUUCCCAUCCAUCCCUUGCUGUCCCCACCAAACGCCAGUUACCUCAUCUGUUGCUAGCAUUAAUGCUCUUCACACACUCAUUAUUCUUUAAUGAUGCCUGUUUGUAAAUAGCAAGAUGGGAUGCAAU